rnacentral:rRNA from 1 species
GAGGGUUUACGACGGCAGUGAUUAGAGUUUGAUCAUGGCUCAGGAUGAACGCUAGCUACAGGCUUAACACAUGCAAGUCGAGGGGCAUCAGUAAGGGAGCUUGCUUCCUUAGCUGGCGACCGGCGAAUGGGUGAGUAACGCGUAUCCAACCUGCCCCCGUCUCGGGCAUAGCCCUUAGAAAUGAGGAUUAACUCCCGCUGGUGUCGCGGGAUCGCAUGAGACUGCGACUAAAGUUUACGGACGGGGAUGGGGAUGCGUCCCAUUAGUUAGUUGGCGGGGUAACGGCCCACCAAGACGUCGAUGGGUAGGGGUUCUGAGAGGAAGGUCCCCCACAUUGGUACUGAGACACGGACCAAACUCCUACGGGAGGCAGCAGUGAGGAAUAUUGGUCAAUGGGCGUAAGCCUGAACCAGCCAAGUAGCGUGAAGGAUGACGGCCCUACGGGUUGUAAACUUCUUUUGUCGGGGAAUAAACCGUCCCACGUGUGGGGCGCUGCAUGUACUCGGUGAAUAAGGACCGGCUAAUUCCGUGCCAGCAGCCGCGGUAAUACGGAAGGUCCGAGCGUUAUCCGGAUUUAUUGGGUUUAAAGGGAGCGUAGGCGGAUGCGUAAGUCAGUCGUGAAAUCAUGGGGCUCAACUCCAUUUAGCGGUUGAAACUGUGUGUCUUGAGUGCGCAAGAGGCAGGUGGAAUUCGUGGUGUAGCGGUGAAAUGCUUAGAUAUCACGAAGAACUCCGAUUGCGAAGGCAGCCUGCUGGGGCGCUACUGACGCUGAUGCUCGAAGGUGCGGGUAUCAAACAGGAUUAGAUACCCUGGUAGUCCGCACGGUAAACGAUGGAUGCUCGCGAUGUGGUUUCUAUGAUUGCGUCGCUUAGCGAAAGCGUUAAGCAUCCCACCUGGGGAGUACGCCCGGCAACGGUGAAACUCAAGGAAUUGACGGGGGCCCGCACAAGCGGAGGAACAUGUGGUUUAAUUCGAUGAUACGCGAGGAACCUUACCCGGGCUUGAAAUGUGACAGACGGAGGCAGAGACGCCUCCUUUCCUUCGGGCUGUCAUGUAGUGCUGCAUGGUUGUCGUCAGCUCGUGCGUGAGUGUCGCUUAGUGCAUACGAGCGCAUCCUCAUCGCUGUACAUCGUUAAGCGGACUCCAGCGACACUGCCAUGCAGAUGUGAGUAAGGCCAGGAUGAACGUUCAAUCAGCACGUCCCUUUACGUCUCGGGGCUUAUACAACG